UACAGAGGGUGCAAGCGUUAAUCGGAAUUACUGGGCGUAAAGCGUGCGUAGGUGGUUCGUUAAGUCGGGUGUGAAAUCCUUGGGCUCAACCUGAGAAUUGCAUCUGAAACUGGCGGGCUAGAGUGUGGUAGAGGGUAGUGGAACUCCCGGUGUAGCGGUGAAAUGCGUAGAUAUCGGGAAGAACACCAGUGGCGAAGGCGGCUACCUGGACCAACACUGACACUGAGGCACGAAAGCGUGGGGAGCAAACAGG
rnacentral:rRNA from 1 species